GUACUCGCAUGGCCUAGGUAAGCGACUUCCAUUGCACUUCAGAAGGGCGCUUGCUUAAGGUCUCCUCAAAGUAGGAGAGCCUACGUCAUAAUUUGUGGCAGUGGUGGCCUGCGUUCGCGCGGUCCCUGU
rfam:Gossypium raimondii Chr09_contig_537, whole genome shotgun sequence.